CGCGCAGGCGGUCGUUCAAGUCGCGUGUGAAAGCCCCCGGCUCAACUGGGGAGGGUCACGCGAUACUGAUCGACUCGAAGGCAGGAGAGGGUAGUGGAAUUCCCGGUGUAGUGGUGAAAUGCGUAGAUAUCGGGAGGAACACCAGUGGCGAAGGCGACUACCUGGCCUGUUCUUGACGCUGAGGCGCGAAAGCUAGGGGAGCAAACGG
rnacentral:rRNA from 1 species